UACGGAGGGUGCGAGCGUUGUCCGGAAUCACUGGGCGUAAAGGGCGCGUAGGCGGCCUGAUAAGUAGGGGGUGAAAUCCUGAGGCUUAACCUCAGGGCUGCCUUCUAAACUGUCAGGCUCGAGCACAGUAGAGGCAGGUGGAAUUCCCGGUGUAGCGGUGGAAUGCGUAGAGAUCGGGAGGAAUACCGAUGGCGAAGGCAGGUCUCUGGGCUGACACUGACGCUCAUGCACGAAAGCGUGGGGAGCAAACAGG
rnacentral:rRNA from 1 species